rnacentral:rRNA from 1 species
AUUGAACGCUGGCGGCAGGCUUAACACAUGCAAGUCGAGCGGGGUGAUGGUGCUUGCACUAUCACUUAGCGGCGGACGGGUGAGUAAUGCUUAGGAAUCUGCCUAUUAGUGGGGGACAACAUCUCGAAAGGGAUGCUAAUACCGCAUACGUCCUACGGGAGAAAGCAGGGGAUCACUUGUGACCUUGCGCUAAUAGAUGAGCCUAAGUCGGAUUAGCUAGUUGGUGGGGUAAAGGCCUACCAAGGCGACGAUCUGUAGCGGGUCUGAGAGGAUGAUCCGACAUACUGGGACUGAGACACGGCCCAGACUCCUACGGGUGGCAGCAGUGGGGAAUAUUGGACAAUGGGGGGAACCCUGAUCCAGCCAUGCCGCGUGUGUGAAGAAGGCCUUAUGGUUGUAAAGCACUUUAAGCGAGGAGGAGGCUCUUUUGGUUAAUACCCAAGAUGAGUGGACGUUACUCGCAGAAUAAGCACCGGCUAACUCUGUGCCAGCAGCCGCCGUAA